GGCAUGGCUCAGUGGCAGAGCAUCCACUUUGCAUGAAGAAGGUCUUGGGUCCAAUUCCUGGUAUCUCCA